rnacentral:rRNA from 1 species
UACGGAGGGUGCAAGCGUUAAUCGGAAUUACUGGGCGUAAAGCGUGCGUAGGCGGUUUGUUAAGUCUGCUGUGAAAUCCCCGGGCUCAACCUGGGAAUGGCAGUGGAUACUGGCAAGCUAGAGUGUGUCAGAGGAUGGUGGAAUUCCCGGUGUAGCGGUGAAAUGCGUAGAGAUCGGGAGGAACAUCAGUGGCGAAGGCGGCCAUCUGGGACAACACUGACGCUGAGGCACGAAAGCGUGGGGAGCAAACAGG